rnacentral:rRNA from 1 species
GAUGAACGCUAGCGGCAGGCCUAAUACAUGCAAGUCGAACGGCAAGUUGAAUAGCAAUAUUUGACCUAGAGUGACGUACGGGUGCGUAACACGUAUGCAACCUACCCAUAACAGGAGGAUAGCUCCCCGAAAGGGGAAUUAACCCUCCAUAGUAUAAUUAAGUGGCAUCAUUUGAUUAUUAAAACUCCGGUGGUUAUGGA